rnacentral:rRNA from 1 species
UUCGCAAUGCCCGAAAGGGUGACGAAGCGACGCCGCGUGCGGGAAGAAGGCCUUCGGGUUGUAAACCGCUGUCGGGGGUUAAGAAAUGUAAGGAUGUCAAUAGCAUCUUUGCUUGACUAAGGCUCCGGAGGAAGCCACGGCUAACUCUGUGCCAGCAGCCGCGGCAAUACAGAGGCGGCAAGCGUUGUUCGGAAUUAUUGGGCGUAAAGAGCACGUAGGCGGCUAUGUAAGUCGGUUGUGAAAGCCUUCCGCUCAACGGGAGAACAGCAUCCGAUACUGCAUGGCUUGAGUGCGGGAGGGGAGAGUGGAACUUCUGGUGGAGCGGUGAAAUGCGUAGAUAUCAGAAGGAACGCCGGCGGCGAAAGCGGCUCUCUGGCCCAUAACUGACGCUGAGUGUGCGAAAGCUAGGGGAGCAAACGGGAUUAGAUACCCCGGUAGUCCUAGCCGUAAACGAUGGGCACUAAGUAGAGGGGUUUU